CAAUCUACUCCUUGCAAACUCAGGAUUGUCAUGUUGAUAUCUUCGAUCUGCUUUCCGUCGAACACAGAGACGCCAAAUCUGCUUCUUCGAUUUGUUUUCUGACAAUACAGAGAUACCAAAUCAUCUUAGAUUUGCUUCAACAUAAACACAUGAAAGCCAAAUCAGCUAUGUCUUCGAUUUGUUCCUUGUAAGCACAAGGAUGCCAAAUCAUCUUGGAUCUACUUCAGUAUAAACAUAUGAAGGCCAGAUCUG
rnacentral:lncRNA from 1 species